AGCGCCCCGGGCGGGCGGCGGCGGCGACGACUACUACUCGGAGAGGCUGCUCGCCCGCUCGGGCAGGAAGGCGCGGCUCUCGGCCGAACCGCACAAGGAGACGGCCGGCUGGGAAUUGGUCGGUGAGGAGCUGAACUACCGGAGCGUCACCUUCAAAAGACUGGAUUGGAGUUUUCCUCCUGACGUCUCGCUUUCGGGCAGCUGCGCUGAAGUGAAAGAAACCUCGCAACAUCGACCCCAAUCGAGCCGCCCCUAACUUUAUUGCUCCCUGAUUCUACCAAUAAGGAUGGAUAGGAAUGAUCAAAAACAAUGUAGAACAUGACUGUUUCUGAACAGUUGAGACCAGAGAAAUGGAACCACAUGGAAAAUGAUUGGUCACAGCUGAGUAAUGAAGAUGCUGCCAGGCCUACUGAUUAUUUCCAGCACUUCCUGUUUUUAUUUCAGAUUUCAGAUCUGCAGCAUUGAUCUGCAGCUUUUAUUGAUCCAAUUGAAUGAUGUUCACCAGUGUGCCCACCAUGCUGAUGUAAAUA